UUUGUCCACUAAUUAUGGACCUGUAUGAAAGGCCACAUGAGAAUCUAACUGUCUCUUGUAACCAAUUUAUAAAACUGAUCUUCCAGUCCAAAAGCUGGAAUUAUACUAUAAGACGAGAAGACCCUGUGAAGCUUAAAAAACCCCAUUAAACCAACUAAUGAGUAUUUUUAGUUGGGGCAACUUUGGAAAAUAGUUCAACCUCCAAAAGAAAAACACCCACCAAGACCAACAAGUCAACCAAGACCCAGUAUAACUGAUAAAUGAACCAAGUUACUCCAGGGAUAACAGCGCAAUCUUCUUCAAGAGCCCAUAUCAAAAAGAAGGUUUACGACCUCGAUGUUGGAUCAGGACACCCAAAUGGUGCAGCCGCUAUUAAAGGUUCGUUUGUUCAACGAUUAACAGU
rnacentral:rRNA from 1 species